ACCCAAAUCGUAAGCCCUAGAAAGAAUCAACCUUCACCCUCAUCUCUGACCAUUUUUCCCGUGAACCAAACUGAACUAGUACAGAAAAACGGCGCAAAAUCUCGAUCAAAUUUCUUAAUGAUGGCAGAUUACGAAGCAAGAUAUGACGGUAAUGGAAACGACAUGGACGGCUACGAUGGCGGUGGUUCCUCUCCCCAACCUCGUGGUAGCAGUCACGGUGGCCCCGAAGAUUAUACCGACUCCAAAUCUCAGCAUGGUUCUCGCGAUUAUGAGAGGGAGUCUUCGAAGAGUAGAGAAAAGGAAAGGGAAAAAGGGCGUGAAAAGGAGAAAGACAGGGGUCGGGAUAGAGAUAGAGAUAGAGAUAGAGAUAGGGACAGGGACAGUGGGAGAAGCAAGGAGAAGGACAGGGAUAGGGAAAGAGACCGGGACCGGGACAAAGAUAGGGAAAGAGACCGGGAUAGAGAUAGAGAUCGUGAUCGACAUCAUAGAGAUCGCCACAGGGAUCGAGGUGAGAGAAGGUCACGAGGCAGAGAUAGGGAUGAAGACGAUGAUGAUUAUUACCGCAGUCGAGAUUAUGAUAGACGGAGGGAUUAUGACAAAGACAGGGAUGACAGACACCAGGUCCGGUCUAGUUCACGCUCAAUGGGUCGGUCUGAGCACAGAUCUAGGUCAAGGUCACGAUCUCGUUCACGCUCGAAAAGCAAAAGGAUUAGCGGUUUUGAUAUGGCACCUCCUGCUUCUGCAAUGUUAGCUACUGCAGUAGCUGCUUCAGGUCAGAUUCCUGGGACACCUCCGGCUAUUCCUGGAAUGUUUCCAAACAUGUUUCCUUUAGCAACUGGCCAGCAAUUUGGAGCUCUUCCAGUUAUGCCAGUGCAAGCCAUGACUCAGCAGGUUGGCAUGAAUGCUACUAGACAUGCCCGGCGGGUGUACGUUGGAGGGCUUCCUCCUACAGCAAAUGAACAGUCUGUUGCAACAUUUUUCAGUCAGGUGAUGGCUGCUAUUGGAGGAAACACUGCUGGUCCAGGGGAUGCUGUUGUAAAUGUUUAUAUCAACCAUGAAAAGAAGUUUGCCUUCGUGGAGAUGAGAUCUGUUGAGGAGGCCAGUAAUGCAAUGGCUUUGGAUGGGAUUAUUUUUGAGGGGGCUCCUGUUAAGGUGAGGAGGCCGAGUGAUUACAACCCUUCACUAGCUGCAACUCUUGGCCCUAGCCAGCCCAAUCCCAAUUUGAAUCUGGCUGCUGUUGGGCUUACACCAGGUUCUGCUGGUGGGCUUGAGGGUCCUGAUCGCAUUUUUGUGGGUGGGUUGCCUUAUUACUUUACAGAAGCACAGAUUAAGGAGUUACUGGAGUCCUUUGGCCCGCUGCGGGGUUUUGAUUUGGUGAAAGACAGAGAAACAGGAAAUUCAAAAGGUUAUGCCUUUUGUGUUUACCAAGAUCUUUCCGUUACAGACAUAGCAUGUGCGGCUUUGAAUGGAAUUAAAAUGGGUGAUAAGACUCUGACUGUUAGACGUGCCAACCAAGGUGCUAACCAGCCGAAACCUGAACAAGAGAGUGUGUUGUUACAUGCACAGCAGCAGAUUGCGUUGCAGAGAUUCAUGUUGUUGCAACAACCUGGUGCUGGUGCGGGUCCUGGUGCUGGUGGUGCAGCAGCCUCCAAGGUCAUAUGUCUUACUCAGGUAGUUACUGCGGAUGAGCUACGAGACGACGAAGAAUAUGAAGACAUCAUGGAAGACAUGAGACAGGAGGGCGAAAAAUUCGCCUUUUUGUUGUCCCACAUUCUGCUAUAAAGAAUCAGGCCUAACAUACAAACAGAAGCCUCCAUGACUUUCUAUCUGAUUUCACCUUGGAUUCUUUUCAUCUUUUUAUAGAACUUACUGAUUUUGAAUUCUUGUUGUUUUGUUAUGCAGGUCCAUUGACAGGAGUGGUGAUCCCACGACCUAGGCCAGACGGUGAACCAUCCCCUGGAGUAGGGAAGGUAUUUCUUGAAUAUACAGAAAUGGAAGGGGCUUCUAAGGCCCGUGCAGGAUUAAAUGGAAGAAAAUUUGGUGGGAAUCAAGUAGUGGCUGUGUUUUAUCCUGAAAAUAAGUUUGCUGAGGGGGAUUACGAUGCCUAGUUGUUUUUCUCAUUAUUUUAGAUAGUUGGAAUCUUAAAACAGCUGUCUAUUUUUUAUCAAUA